GCUGGGCAUGGUGGCGCAUGCCUGUAGUCCCAGCUACUCAGGAGGCUGAGGCAGGAGAAUUGCCUGAACCCAGGAGACGGAGGUUGCGGUGAGCCAAGAUUGCGCCAUUGCACUCUAGCCUGGGUAACAAGAGCAAAACUCUGUCUCAAAUUAAAAAAAAGAGAGAUGGAGUCCCACUCUGUCACCCAGGCUGGAGUGCAGUGGCACAAUCUCGGCUCACUGCAACCUCCAAGUGAUCUUCCUGCCUCA
rnacentral:sRNA from 1 species